CGCGAGAUAGCGCCGCAGUUGUAUUGCAGAUUCUUCCUUUUUAAAGCGGUGUAACGCGAACUGCACGGCUUUUACUCGCGUUUUUCAUAUUAUAUAUCGCCGUUGAUCACGCGCAGGUGUUAAUAUUGAAUUUCUCAUCGUUCAAUUAACGCUCACCUGUGAAUGUAAUCGGCCGUGUGAAGGGGAAAGUCGAAAUUAACGACGUGCUUAACCGUCGUGGUGUCGAGUCCUCUGGAACAAGCAUCAGUCGUAACGAGAACAGUGGUGUGACCCCUUUGAAAUUCAGCAAAUCUAUCUAACCGUACUCUCGCUGGUAAGGUGCCGUGAGUGUAGGAGCAGUUCACACUCAUUUCGCUCAAGAACAGGUAUAACCAUUCGCAAGACUUUA